rnacentral:rRNA from 1 species
UGGGGAAUAUUGCACAAUGGGCGGAAGCCUGAUGCAGCGACGCCGCGUGGGGGAUGACGGCCUUCGGGUUGUAAACCUCUUUCAGUGCAGAACAAGGCUCUUUGUGGGUUGAGGGUAUGCGCAGAAGAAGCGCCGGCUAACUACGUGCCAGCAGCCGCGGUAAUACGUAGGUGGCAAGCGUUGUCCGGAAUUACUGGGUGUAAAGGGCGUGUAGGCGGGGAGACAAGUCAGAUGUGAAAUCCCGAGGCUUAACUUCGGAGCUGCAUCUGAAACUGUUUCUCUUGAGUACUGGAGAGGAAAGUGGAAUUCCAAGUGUAGCGGUGAAAUGCGUAGAGAUUUGGAGGAACACCAGUGGCGAAGGCGGCUUUCUGGACAGUAACUGACGCUGAGGCGCGAAAGCGUGGGGAGCAAACAGG